AUAUAUAUCUAUUAGAUAAAAGUCAAUGUCUUUAUGUGUAUUCGUUUGUUUCUUAUAGACUUGAAAACUACUGCACCAAUCCUAAUGAAAUUUGGAACACAAAAUCCAAGCCUAGGGAGAAGGGUAAUGCCGUAUGUUUCAUACAAUUUCAUGGACCAAAAUUACUGAAUGGAUACUUAUGAUAUUUGGAACUUAGAUUCAAUGCAUAAGGUCCAACACGCCUAACCUCAUCUGCUGCACCUGACAACUUACAUUGAUCCCUCAACAUUACAUUCCGCUACGUUUGGUGACUCCAACAAAGAAUAAUAGCCUUCACUUCAAGCAUCAUUGAACCCGAACUGGAAAAUUGCUGCAAUUAGUCAUCACACUACUUAUGUGAUUUUAUCAUAUUGAGGCCCAGUUUUCUUUGAAUCGAAUUGUUAGUGAUGCAGCUCACCUAAAGCAUGCGAUCAGAUCACUAUUGCCAGAAAUUAUGAACAUGGUCCAAGAUCUCAUUUUGACACCACCUGGUUCUGUGUCAUAUGACACAUUCAAAAUUACUUUCAUUAAGAGGACUUCAGAGUUGCAACAAAAGCAUCUUCACCAGCUCCUUAUAUCGGAGCGUCUCCAUCAGCUGCUAAUGUCGGAGUGUCUCCACCAGCUCCUUAUAACGGAGUAUCUCUGCCAGCUCCUUAUAUCAGAGCAUCUCCACCAGCUGCUUAUAUUGGAGGAAUUAGAAGACAGAAAACCAUCCCAGAUUCUACAGAGAAUGAAGCAGCUUCUGAGAGAACAGAAAUCUUUAAGCUGCUUUUUCUCCAGCAUCUUCCCUCCAAUACACAAGUGGUCUUGGCUUCCACCAGAGAAUCCACUUCACUUGAGGAACUGGCUGAGCUUGCAGACAAAAUUGCCAAAGUACCACAUAAAUAUUCUACCUUAUCUACUGUGACUCCAGCUGUUCCUUCCAUCAUUCCUUUCCUUUUGUCAUCUAGUGUUUGGAAAUUUUGGACUUGUGUUCAUCAAUGAUGGCCCUAUUGUUUGGUAUACCCCUUCAAAGUAGCAGCUGACUGCAUCGAUUUGGUAGACAGUCACAAAGCCUGAGUGCCUCCUGUUAUUCACAAGAAACAUGUUUGGAACACAGGCACAGAAAUGCAUGCCCCUAUGUUCAUUCUUGACAUCUCAUUCGGGAAACAAAACAGUCAAGGAUUGAAUAUGAUGGAUGUUCCUGGCUCUCACCCACAAAGUCGCCUGAUUUUCAUCUGUGACUGUUUAACAGGCACAUGUUUCCUUGUUGAUACUGGUGCAGAAGUCAGCAUAAUCCUUGUUUCCUGCACUCCAGGCAACAGAAAAGAAAUACCAGUCUAUCUUCAGGCAGUCAAUCACUCACCGAUUCCUACUUACGAUGAACAGUCCCUAACAAUGGACUUAGGACUGCACCACACCUAGUGAGUAUUCGUCAUAGCUAAGCUGCCGAUCCCUAUUUUAGGAGCCAAUUUUCUUCACCAUUUUGGUCACCUGGUGAAUAUCAAGCAUGGAAGACUUGUUGACAGCACCACUCAGCUCACUGUGCAUGGUAUAGCCACUCAGAUGGUGGCAGUCAGCCCAAUCAUUUUACAGUCAACAAUAACAACCCGUCACAGUGCUAUCCUCAAAGAAUACCCUAAUAUUGCUCAACCUGUAUCCCAUAAUAAACCCAUUAAACAUAAAGUCACCCACCAUAUCAAGACCCUGUUGCUGCACGACCCCAAAGGCUACCACUAGAACAUCUCAAGGCUGUCAAACAAGUAUUCCAACACAUGCUCAACCUCAGAAUCAUCCGCCCACCCAGCAGCAACUGGUUCUCACCUGUAUACUGCAUCAACUGAUUGGUGAGUUUGCGGUGACUGUUGAUCACUGAACAACUGCACUGUAUCUGAUGCAUAUCAUAUGCCUCCUCUACAGGACUUUUCUAGCUCGCUGCAUGGAGCUCACAUAUUUUUGAAGAUCGACCUUGAGUGAACUUGUAAACAAAUACCUGUAGAACCCGCGGAUAUUCCGAAGACUGCAGCCACAACACCUUUUGGAAUGUUCGAAUUCCUGCGUAUGCCUUUUGGUUUACAAAAUGCAGUGCAGACAUUCCAAUGGUUCAUCAACAUGGUUACCAGAGGCUUGCCUUUCAUCUAUGCAUACAUAGACGACUUGCUUGUGGCCAGUAGCUCAGACAAAGAACAUGAACAACAUCUGCACCUGCUGUUCUAAUGCCUGUGGGAAUAUCGUAUUGUCAUCAACCCCAGCAAGUGCACUUCGGAGUUGCAUCCCUUUGUUUUCUUGGAUACAUUGUAGAUAAGUAUGGCAUUUGCCCACUCCCAGAGAAAGUCAAAGCCAUUGUAGAUUUUCCAUCACCCACAUCUCUUCGUAAACUGUGGGAAUUUCUUGGCCCAGUGAACUUCUAGUGUAGAUUCAUACCUCACUGUGCAGAGACAGCCCAACCCCUCACAGAUUUGCUGCAACAGCAAACAAGCAAAAAUGUAAACGUUGUACUGAAUGAAAAAGAACACACCUCUUUCACAAAAUUGAAAAAGGUGCUAUCUAAGGCUACCAUGCUCAUGUAUAUCAAAAAAAGAGGUCCCACUAUGUGUACUGGUUGAUGCAUCCAAUUCCAGAGUUGGAGGCAUGCUCCAACAACUCACUGAUGGUAUUUGGCAACUCGUAUCUUUUAUUUCUUAGUGCUGAGAGAAUUAUUGGCAGUAUAUCUUGCUGUCAAGCAUUUUCAACACAUGCUAGAAGGUUGUGUUUUCUCAAUCUACACUGGCCAUAAACCGCUGGUUUAUGCAUUCAACACCAAGCCUGAUCAUCACUCACCCAGGGAAGUCUGACAUCUAGACUUCAUAUUCCAAUACACAACUAACAUUCGCCACAUUAAGGGUGCAAACAACUCUACAGCUGAUGCCCUGUCACACAUGGAGCUUAAUGCAAUUCACACCACUGCUACUAUUGAUCUCCAGCAGAUUGCAGCUGAUCAACAAGAUGAAGGACUACUAAAGCUCCAGAAUUCAUCAUCUCUGAAAUUUCAGUAAUUUCCAUUACCCUCUGCUACAGGCUAUAUUUAGUGCAACACCGCCACUGGCAAUGAACAUCCAUAUAUGCCGCAGAAACAUUGACAUGUUUCCUUUGCAUUGCAUUCCCUAGCACAUCCUGGUGUCUGCACCACACAAAAGCUGAUAUUGACCCGUUUUGUGUGGCCCAAAAAGGACACCCACGAAUGGGUUAGGAGCUGUGUCACAUGCCAAAAAGCAAAGAUUCACCGACACAUUAAAUCUGCUAUUGGUUCAUUUGCAACUCCUGAUGCAUGUUUUCAACACAUGCACAUCAACAUCAUUGGACCCUUGCCUCCUUCUAACUACUGCACUCACCUCACCUGUGUUGACAGAUUUUCUUGCUGAUCGGAAGCUUUUCCCCUAUUGGAUACUUCUGUAGAAACUGUCACCAAAACGCUAGUGUUUUAUUGGGUUUCACCUUUUGGUACACCUGUGACAAUCACCACUGACAGAGGAUGUCAGUUCAAUUCUCACCUCUUCACUGAGAUGACAACAGCAUAUCACCCCUCAGCAAAUGGCAUGGUCGAAUGCUUUCACUGCCAACUUAAGGCAGCUAUUAAAGCCUAUCUGGACUGCUCCAACUGGUUGGAAUAUCUUCUACUCAUCCUCCUUUGUAUUCAAUCCACGGUUAAAGAGGGAGUCGGACAUACUCCGGCUGAAUUUAUUUAUGGCACAGCACUGACUUUACCUGGUCAGAUGCUAAUAUCUGUUUUUCUACAGUCACUUCCUGAUCCUUCAAAAUAUGUCAGUCGUUUGUGGACAUCUAUGUCCCAUCUUUCACCUGCAAGCCCUCAACAGCAGAAUGUUGCUACACAUGUCCCAGAGGACAUCAGUAUAUAGAAAUAUGUUUUUGUUCAGAAUGAUGGUUUUCCUCAGCAACUUUGUCCCCCUUUUUCUGGACCCUACCAACAGGAAACCAAAAUAUUUCAUUCUGGAUAUAUAUGAAAACAAAAAACAAAAUACUGUCAGCGUUGAUUGUUUGGAAUAAGCAUUUGUUGAACCAGAUUUACAACCAGUUCCUACUAUUUCCCAAACAAACUCAACAAUGUCAACUUUACCUUUCACAAACGCCUCAAAUUCUGCACAACCCCAGCACACCAAAUUGGGAAGAACAGGUUGAUGGCCGCAAGUUAUGUUCAAGUCUUUCAGAUAAGUACAAAUUCUCCAGCUAGGCGUCAUUUCAAUUGAAAUGUCCACUUCAACAAAAAAGAAAAAAUCUUUUCGUGGUUAUGAGCAAUUGCCACACACAUUACCCAAUUGACUAUACAUCACUCACAUACAAACAUAAAAAUAAAAAUUACAAAAACCAUUUUUUUAUAUAAUCAACAUCUUGUUCUGCUAAUUGAACUGACUGAACAUUUAAUCAAAGAACUUUUUGCACGAACAUUUUUAUUUCUGUGAAAUUAUAUUCUCUUGCAUGCACAUAUAUUUUGCUUUGUUUUCAAAACAUUUUGCUCCAUAUUUUUCCAUUCUUUCGCUUCACCUGUUUUGACAAGUAUUCAGUUGUUGUUUGUACAUCCAUUUCAACUUCACAUGUUCAAUCUCUUUGGCUCUUUGGGGUGAGGGUAGUGUUGAAAUUAUAUUUUAUUUUUUUGACUGAGAUUUGAAACCGAAUCUAAGAAUUCUCGCUCACUGGAUCCACCCGCUAUUUGCUGACCAAGCAGGAAAAUUUCUUUGUCCUGUCAAAAUGAUUGAUGAGUUUCCACUUGACCUUUGACCUGGCUGUGUCACAGAAAGUUCAACUGGAUAGCAAGUGGCCUAAAUGUGUAUAAGCCACUCUUAUAAUGAUAUAUCCAUCCUUCUAGCUAGAAUGGGCCAUUAUAAAUACCAGUUCUGUAGGCAGACACGGACAGUCAGCAGAGUGAGCUGAGAGAGACCAGAUAGAUAGCUCCAGACCCGACAAAGAAACAAGGUAGAGAGACAACACACCAGAAGUGAUGGGUGAAUGCACACACAGACACAAUAUAUGUUUUUGUAUUGUCUCGUCCCAUUAACAUUCUCUUUCCUCUGUUUUACUUCACACAUUUCUCUGUGUACACAACUUCACUGACUCGAAGUAGCUGGCUGCAUUAUGUAGUGGCAUAUUUGUUCAUAUUUCAAAUCAGGCUCUCAGUAUCCAACAAGUGGAUGCAACUAUGACCAAAUAAAUAAUGUAAAAUACA